UACGAGGGGUGCAAGCGUUGCUCGGAAUUAUUGGGCGUAAAGGGCAGGUAGGUGGUCUCAUUUGUCAGGGGUGAAAUCCUUGGGCUUAACUCAAGAAGUGCCCUUGAAACGGUGAGACUGGAGUCUUGGAGAGGGUCGUGGAAUUCCCGGUGUAGCGGUGAAAUGCGUAGAGAUCGGGAGGAACACCAGAGGCGAAGGCGGCGACCUGGACAAGCACUGACACUCAACUGCGAAAGCGUGGGUAGCAAACAGG
rnacentral:rRNA from 1 species